rnacentral:rRNA from 9 species
AUAGGGUCAAGUGAAUAAGUGCAUCAGGCGGAUGCCUUGGCGAUGAUAGGCGACGAAGGACGUGUAAGCCUGCGAAAAGCGCGGGGGAGCUGGCAAUAAAGCUAUGAUUCCGCGAUGUCCGAAUGGGGAAACCCACUGCAUUCUGUGCAGUAUCCUAAGUUGAAUACAUAGGCUUAGAGAAGCGAACCCGGAGAACUGAACCAUCUAAGUACCCGGAGGAAAAGAAAUCAACCGAGAUUCCGCAAGUAGUGGCGAGCGAACGCGGAGGAGCCUGUACGUAAUAACUGUCGAGAUAGAAGAACAAGCUGGGAAGCUUGACCAUAGCGGGUGACAGUCCCGUAUUCGAAAUCUCAACAGCGGUACUAAGCGUACGAAAAGUAGGGCGGGACACGUGAAAUCCUGUCUGAAUAUGGGGGGACCAUCCUCCAAGGCUAAAUACUCAUCAUCGACCGAUAGUGAACCAGUACCGUGAGGGAAAGGCGAAAAGAACCCCGGGAGGGGAGUGAAACAGAACCUGAAACCUGAUGCAUACAAACAGUGGGAGCGCCCUAGUGGUGUGACUGCGUACCUUUUGUAUAAUGGGUCAACGACUUACAUUCAGUAGCGAGCUUAACCGGAUAGGGGAGGCGUAGGGAAACCGAGUCUUAAUAGGGCGAUGAGUUGCUGGGUGUAGACCCGAAACCGAGUGAUCUAUCCAUGGCCAGGUUGAAGGUGCCGUAACAGGUACUGGAGGACCGAACCCACGCAUGUUGCAAAAUGCGGGGAUGAGCUGUGGGUAGGGGUGAAAGGCUAAACAAACUCGGAGAUAGCUGGUUCUCCCCGAAAACUAUUUAGGUAGUGCCUCGAGCAAGACACUGAUGGGGGUAAAGCACUGUUAUGGCUAGGGGGUUAUUGCAACUUACCAACCCAUGGCAAACUCAGAAUACCAUCAAGUGGUUCCUCGGGAGACAGACAGCGGGUGCUAACGUCCGUUGUCAAGAGGGAAACAACCCAGACCGCCGGCUAAGGUCCCAAAUGAUAGAUUAAGUGGUAAACGAAGUGGGAAGGCACAGACAGCCAGGAUGUUGGCUUAGAAGCAGCCAUCAUUUAAAGAAAGCGUAAUAGCUCACUGGUCGAGUCGUCCUGCGCGGAAGAUGUAACGGGGCUCAAAUCUAUAACCGAAGCUGCGGAUGCCGGUUUACCGGCAUGGUAGGGGAGCGUUCUGUAGGCUGAUGAAGGUGCAUUGUAAAGUGUGCUGGAGGUAUCAGAAGUGCGAAUGUUGACAUGAGUAGCGAUAAAGCGGGUGAAAAGCCCGCUCGCCGAAAGCCCAAGGUUUCCUACGCAACGUUCAUCGGCGUAGGGUGAGUCGGCCCCUAAGGCGAGGCAGAAAUGCGUAGUCGAUGGGAAACAGGUUAAUAUUCCUGUACUUGAUUCAAAUGCGAUGUGGGGACGGAGAAGGUUAGGUUGGCAAGCUGUUGGAAUAGCUUGUUUAAGCCGGUAGGUGGAAGACUUAGGCAAAUCCGGGUUUUCUUAACACCGAGAAGUGAUGACGAGUGUCUACGGACACGAAGCAACCGAUACCACGCUUCCAGGAAAAGCCACUAAGCUUCAGUUUGAAUCGAACCGUACCGCAAACCGACACAGGUGGGCAGGAUGAGAAUUCUAAGGCGCUUGAGAGAACUCGGGAGAAGGAACUCGGCAAAUUGAUACCGUAACUUCGGGAGAAGGUAUGCCCUCUAAGGUUAAGGACUUGCUCCGUAAGCCCCGGAGGGUCGCAGAGAAUAGGUGGCUGCGACUGUUUAUUAAAAACACAGCACUCUGCCAACACGAAAGUGGACGUAUAGGGUGUGACGCCUGCCCGGUGCCGGAAGGUUAAUUGAAGAUGUGCAAGCAUCGGAUCGAAGCCCCGGUAAACGGCGGCCGUAACUAUAACGGUCCUAAGGUAGCGAAAUUCCUUGUCGGGUAAGUUCCGACCCGCACGAAUGGCGUAACGAUGGCCACACUGUCUCCUCCCGAGACUCAGCGAAGUUGAAGUGGUUGUGAAGAUGCAAUCUACCCGCUGCUAGACGGAAAGACCCCGUGAACCUUUACUGUAGCUUUGCAUUGGACUUUGAAGUCACUUGUGUAGGAUAGGUGGGAGGCUUGGAAGCAGAGACGCCAGUCUCUGUGGAGUCGUCCUUGAAAUACCACCCUGGUGUCUUUGAGGUUCUAACCCAGACCCGUCAUCCGGGUCGGGGACCGUGCAUGGUAGGCAGUUUGACUGGGGCGGUCUCCUCCCAAAGCGUAACGGAGGAGUUCGAAGGUUACCUAGGUCCGGUCGGAAAUCGGACUGAUAGUGCAAUGGCAAAAGGUAGCUUAACUGCGAGACCGACAAGUCGGGCAGGUGCGAAAGCAGGACAUAGUGAUCCGGUGGUUCUGUAUGGAAGGGCCAUCGCUCAACGGAUAAAAGGUACUCCGGGGAUAACAGGCUGAUUCCGCCCAAGAGUUCAUAUCGACGGCGGAGUUUGGCACCUCGAUGUCGGCUCAUCACAUCCUGGGGCUGUAGUCGGUCCCAAGGGUAUGGCUGUUCGCCAUUUAAAGUGGUACGUGAGCUGGGUUUAAAACGUCGUGAGACAGUUUGGUCCCUAUCUGCAGUGGGCGUUGGAAGUUUGACGGGGGCUGCUCCUAGUACGAGAGGACCGGAGUGGACGAACCUCUGGUGUACCGGUUGUAACGCCAGUUGCAUAGCCGGGUAGCUAAGUUCGGAAGAGAUAAGCGCUGAAAGCAUCUAAGCGCGAAACUCGCCUGAAGAUGAGACUUCCCUUGCGGUUUAACCGCACUAAAGGGUCGUUCGAGACCAGGACGUUGAUAGGUGGGGUGUGGAAGCGCGGUAACGCGUGAAGCUAACCCAUACUAAUUGCCCGUGAGGCUUGACUCUAU